GUGAACGCUGGCGGUAGGCCUAACACAUGCAAGUCGAACGGCAGCACCGUAAGAGCUUGCUCUUACGGGUGGCGAGUGGCGGACGGGUGAGGAAUACAUCGGAAUCUACUUUUUCGUGGGGGAUAACGCAGGGAAACUUACGCUAAUACCGCAUACGACCUACGGGUGAAAGCAGGGGAUCUUCGGACCUUGCGCGAUUGAAUGAGCCGAUGUCGGAUUAGCUAGUUGGCGGGGUAAAGGCCCACCAAGGCGACGAUCCGUAGCUGGUCUGAGAGGAUGAUCAGCCACACUGGAACUGAGACACGGUCCAGACUCCUACGGGAGGCAGCAGUGGGGAAUAUUGGACAAUGGGCGCAAGCCUGAUCCAGCCAUACCGCGUGGGUGAAGAAGGCCUUCGGGUUGUAAAGCCCUUUUGUUGGGAAAGAAAAGCAGCAGGUUAAUACCCCGCUGUUCUGACGGUACCCAAAGAAUAAGCACCGGCUAACUUCGU
rnacentral:rRNA from 1 species